UGGGGAAUAUUGGACAAUGGGCGCAAGCCUGAUCCAGCAAUGCCGCGUGUGUGAAGAAGGCCUUCGGGUUGUAAAGCACUUUUAUCAGGAGCGAAAUACUAUCGGUUAAUAACCGGUGGGGCUGACGGUACCUGAGGAAUAAGCACCGGCUAACUUCGUGCCAGCAGCCGCGGUAAGACAGAGGGGGCAAGCGUUGCUCGGAAUCACUGGGCGUAAAGGGCGCGUAGGCGGGAUGGCAAGUCGGUCGUGAAAUCCCUGGGCUCAACUCAGGGGGGUCGGCCGAUACUGCCGUUCUUGAGGGAUGCAGAGGAGACUGGAAUUCCCGGUGUAGCGGCGAAAUGUGUAGAGAUCGGGAGGAACACCGGUGGCGAAGGCGGGUCUCUGGGCAUUCCCUGACGCUGAGGCGCGAAAGCGUGGGGAGCAAAC
rnacentral:rRNA from 1 species